rnacentral:snoRNA from 1 species
UGCAAAUGAUGCUAUAAUCAAGGUUUUUUCUCAUGACAUUCUCAGUUGCCGCCUAAGAGCUUUCGCCCUGCCAGGCUUGAAAGGUAGUGCCACUGCUGCAGCAAAUCUCCUCUUUCCUCCCCUGUA